rnacentral:rRNA from 1 species
AUGAAAGUUAAAUUCGCCUCUCUGAAUGUGAUCGGUAACGCUGCACUUUGGCUCAAAAUGGCCCAAAAACGCAAACACUUCCAGCAUUGGGAUGAAAUGCGUGCAGCAGUAGCAGAAAAAUGGGGCAAGGAUAAGCAUCAGUUCUAUAUGCGUCAAUUGUUGUUAUUGAGUCAGAUAGGGUCUGUAGCUGAUUACACUACCAAAUUUGACACUCUUCGGCAUCAGAUUUUGUUAGCUGAUCCACAUACACAUGAGGUGCUCUUUGUAGAGCGUUACAUUGCCGGGCUCCGCCCCGACAUUCGUUCUGCUAUUGUUUUACACCGUCCUGAAAGUGUGGAUACUGCUAGUUGCUUGGCCUUGUCGCAGGAAGUCGAGGUGGAACAUGACAAAUCUCUGUCAGCUAUGAAGCAUGGCUCGCGCUCUUACAACAAAUCAUCAGCAGCAGAAAAGAACAAAGGGGUUUCAGCUCCAGAGGACUCGCGGAAGUGGUCUGAAAAGCUGGAAGCACCGCGUGCCUACCGCAAGUCGAAGAAUCUCUGCUUUCACUUGUGGCGAUCCAUGGGCACGUGGCCACAAAUGUCCUGA